CACAUAGCUCAGUGGUAGAGCACUUCCUUGGUAAGGAAGAGGUCACCGGUUCAAAUCCGGUUGUGG
rnacentral:tRNA from 1 species